AACGAACGCUGGCGGCAGGCCUAACACAUGCAAGUCGAACGCUCCGCAAGGGGAGUGGCAGACGGGUGAGUAACACGUGGGAAUCUUCCUAUUGGUCCGGAAUAGCUCAGGGAAACUUGGGGUAAUACCGUAUAAGCACGAGAGGGGAAAGAUUUAUCGCCAGUAGAUGGGCCCGCGUCUGAUUAGCUAGUUGGUGAGGUAAUGGCUCACCAAGGCGACGAUCAGUAGCUGGUCUGAGAGGAUGAUCAGCCACACUGGGACUGAGACACGGCCCAGACUCCUACGGGAGGCAGCAGUGGGGAAUAUUGGACAAUGGGCGCAAGCCUGAUCCAGCCAUGCCGCGUGAGUGACGAAGGUCUUCGGAUUGUAAAGCUCUUUUGGCGGGGACGAUAAUGACGGUACCCGCAGAAUAAGCCCCGGCUAACUUCGUGCCAGCAGCCGCAGUAACAC
rnacentral:rRNA from 1 species